rnacentral:ncRNA from 2 species
UUUGGUAUGCGUAACUGGCGAAAACGCAGAGCACUGCGGGGGAGCGCAUAUGUCAUAGCAGCCGUUCGCCUGGGCAAAGUAU